rnacentral:rRNA from 1 species
UACGAAGGGGGCUAGCGUUGCUCGGAAUCACUGGGCGUAAAGCGCGCGUAGGCGGAUUGUUAAGUCAGGGGUGAAAUCCUGGAGCUCAACUCCAGAACUGCCUUUGAUACUGGCGAUCUCGAGUCCGGGAGAGGUGAGUGGAACUGCGAGUGUAGAGGUGAAAUUCGUAGAUAUUCGCAAGAACACCAGUGGCGAAGGCGGCUCACUGGCCCGGUACUGACGCUGAGGCGCGAAAGCCAGGGGAGCAAACGGG